CCCAGGCUUUCUUGCUUGCUUUGUUUUCUGCUAUUGCAGUGAGUGAAAUAGCUCAUAGAAGGGCCAGAGUGAGCAAGACAGCAGGAGGCCCAUAGGUGGUGGCAGAGUUGCUGAUUUGAGUCACUGGAUCUUAUGAAGCUAUGCUUUCAGACACUUCUAUUUUGCACAUAAAGUAUUGUACAUCCUUCAAGUAAAUUCAGCAGUUUGACCAUGACAAGAGGAAGACUAAACACUUCAGAAACUAGCAUGAAAAGAUGAUGUGUGACCAACUGAAGUAAAGGCAACAAGAAGAACUGACAAGAUUAAUGCAAAGACUUAGGUUUUGUCACCUUCCAAUUCCAACUUCUGCGAUAUUAUUAGUUUUUACUGUUCUGGAACAACCAAAUUUUCUUAGGAGACUUCAAACAGAUCUGCAGUUUCAAGCACAGAGAAGUCAAUCAGAAGCAAUCCAGAUCAAGAUUAGAACUCCUCUGCUGCUCAGAAAAG